CAGGCCCUGAAGCAGCGGGGCCGGGGGUCGCUGGCCGGGGCAGCGGAGGGGCUGCGGGCAGGAGGGAAGCGAGCGGGGCACGGCAGGCGGGGGACACUCUACCCCGCGCCCGGUUACACCGAAGAAGGGCGGGGAGGAACCUUCGGGCCACUCUCCCUUCCGUCCCCCUCCACGCAAGCGAACACACCGCGGGAGGAGGACAUACGCAAGAGAGACCUGUUGGCACAAACGCCUGUCGGAGGCGAAGCGAAAGGGUGGUGAGCAGGCAAAGCACUGAGGAGACCGAUUCCAGAUUGCUGUAUACGUGUUAGGUCUACAGGGACUGCACUUCGUGUCCACAUUGUGACUGCAGCUCUCUGUCUUAUAUUGACCUAUUAAAAAAAAAAAACACCAAACAAACCAAAAGAGAAGAAACAUCUCAUUGGAAAAGAUCACUAGGAAUUGUUCAAGAAACUGUGUGUUAUGGUGAAACACAGGAUGGUGCUUCAUGCUGAAAGUCAGGCACGUGCUGGAAAGAAGUGUCUGGGUGGGGCCCUUGCUACCUUUACAAGCGGCAAGUGAAGAACGCAUAGUAAAGUAUUACUGCAAACAGACCUGAAUCAGAACUUCACUCGUCACUACUGAAGGGAUAUCAGCUCAUGCUUUUGCCUUCACUCUUCAGCCAGCCCUAACAGAUCAAAGCAAUGAGUUUCUGAAGCUACUGGCAUUCCAGACAAAAUCAAAAGCUAUCAAAGGUAGUUUAUCCAAUGCUUCUCACCAACAGCAGAGUUCAGCGCAGUGGUGGGAAUAAGUAAAUCUGAGCUCCAACAUAUCCAUUUUGGAGAAAGGAAAACAGCUCAGUUGCAUUUCCCCCUUGCUUGAAAGGAGGAAGAAUAUAAAGUCAAUGUCUCAUAUCUGGUACAGAAAUAUCCUGGAAAAUGUACUUGGAAAGCAGGAGUAACACUGAGAAAGCCUUGGAGCUGCUUGGAGAAUCUCUGCUCUCCAAAAGAAAGGGCCCUGGAAGUGAGCCAUAGAAAUAAUUUCCAGACUUUGUUUUUCCAUGUACUUAUUUGAACCUUAAAAUUCUGCCUCCCACAUCCUGCUAAUGAUUUAGGCUUCAUUUUUUGAUAAAUAAUGGUAAAAGAAAGUGAAGCUCAUAAAUAACAAAAAUAAAGAUUUUAGACUUCCUACAA